UUGGAAGUUGGAACACGCUAUCGAUGGUCUUCUAAUUGCGUGUGCGCGUGCAGAGAGAGAUUUCUCUCACCGUUUUGAUACUUACCAGAGUUCUGUACGACCCUUCAUCACUUGUCUUCUCCAAAAACGCAGAGAUAUAUUUAUGCACACAACUUUUUGUAUAGUUCUUUUUACUGAAUUCUCUUACAGGGUAGUAGAUUUAUGCCCAGCCUGGAG
rnacentral:lncRNA from 1 species